GUGCCUAUAAAAGGGGGAGUGUUUGGUUGCUUGGGAUGCAUCAUCCUUGGUACCGCCCCUUUGUGACAUGUGGCGCUUUGAAUGAGUGCCAGCAGUUGGGUUAUCCUCCUGUCUGUCGUGUGCUGGCUGUUGGCCAGUUUUCAGAUAUGGGCCUGCCAGUAGCUGUAAUCCUGCGUGGUGAGCGACCAUGUGUAUUGCAGCAUUGUACUGUUUUCUUGCAGGAUUGAUUGCACGUCCAGGGGUUUCUAAUGAUCUUAAUUGAAGCCUAAUGAACCUCACGUAACUGACUGCACUUCUGCUCUACUCUACUUUACUCUGUUUUGUUCUGUCUGGAAUUCAUCUGGGUCCGUCUGUUAUAUUAUGUUUGGUGUGUGGAUUUAGGUGGGAGGGGUUGGCCAUGGUACCUUGUACUGCGUGU